GAUCAUUGGACCAACGGAACCAAGAAGGGCUCAAGGCAUCAUCAUUUCACUAUUAAGGACAACAUGCUUUUGAAUCCAAGCACGAUCAAACUUGGAAUGACCUAACUCCUCACAAACUUGGUGCUUUUACUGACAUCCUGGUCAUUCACACCGGCUCAACACACUUGGGAAGAUCAAUUUGAACACCUAAUCACCGGAAAUAACUCGUGUUCAGGUGCCUUUUGAGGCCUAGGGGCCCGCCCAAAGACCCCAAACCUCCCCCUUUGAAGCACAGAGGGUUGAGCAUGAUAUUUAAAGGGUUGCCGAUCUCGCCACCCUCGGAUUAAGUAACUAUGAUGAGCCGGGAGAUGUUCACCGUAGCCUUCCUCAGAAGUCGUGUUAUCUCUCAACGUGGAAAUUAGGAGAGUGAGGUGCCGUAAUAAGUGUUAGGCCCAGGAAAUGAGGCCGCGCGCGCCCAAUGUACCCUAAGACAGUUCACCCUCCGUUUUGGAAGAGGGCGGUGAACCCACCAACAGGGCGGACAUUUCCUAGUCAGGGUGAUGGUGCUGGGCAAGAACAAGUCACCGACUGAAUUGGUGGUGGACAUUCCUUUCUCCAGUACGGUUGAGAUCCAAGUAUCGCACCGAAUUCAAACGAUGCAUGGUCAUAAUAAGUCAUAAAGUCCUAAGAUACUAUUGCCCUUGAAAAUUGCGCACCCUCAUUGAAAGUAGGCCCAUGCCUUCCCAAGAGCUGGUGGGUGGACCGUGGAACAGAUAGAUGGAUAUAUUUAUGUCUGAGGCCAUAUAUUCAAAUUUCGACGGAAAGGUACUAGACUUUUUUGUUUAUCCGUAAGGGAUGUAAAAAGUGUUUGGGAUCUCCACUUGGUGAACAUGUCCUGCAAAGCCUGUUUCUAAGCUCGAUGGAUCCACUGCUGCCAUGUUGAUGUCCCAUCUCUUUGGGGUUCAGCGACCUCGCUCGAAAGACGGCAAACGUAUGUUCCAUUUUGUGCUCCUCAGCUCGGUUUUUGCGAGCAGCUUCUCAGGGCCAAUCUUGCCAUAA